UCUUGUUGUCAUUUUGAGAUGA
rnacentral:miRNA from 1 species